GUUGCCCAGGCUGGGCUCAAACUCCUGAGCUCAAGCAAUCCGCCUACCUUAGCCACCCAAAGUGCUGAGAUUACAGGCAUGAGCCACCGCACCUGGUCAAGGGAGGAGCAAUUCAGAAUGGCAAAAACAGAGCUGACACUGUUUGUAGACAUACAGACCUGGGUUUGAAUCCUGACUCUGUCUUUAGAACCUUUCACAACUAGACCCAACUUCACCGCUGUGGGGGAUAACAAUAGUUGCCAGCUCUUAUGGAGUGAAUGUUAGUGUCUCUCCCAUCAAAUCCUACCCGUGAUGUGAUGGUACUAGGAGGUGGGACCUUUGGGAGGUAAUUAGAAGUAGAUGAGAUCAUGAGGGUGGGGCCUCGACAAAUGGGAUUUGUGCCUUAUAAGAGUCAAAAGAGAACUUGCGUCUUCUCUCUGCUCUCUGCCAUGUGAGGACACAGGGAGAGGUCAGUGGUCCACAACCCAGAAGACAGCCUCCACCAGAGCUCAACCAUGCUGGCACCCUGAUACCGGACUUCCAACCUCCAGAACGGAGACCAUCCAGAGGCCAGUUGCCCGGAGACAAAUUGUAAGUCUUUAUGAUCAGAAAGAAUAGGGGUAGAUGGCUGUCACUGAGUGAUUCACAGGCCAGAGUCCAAAUCAAUCAUCGAUGUCAGUACUUUCAAACCCAGGAAGAACAUCCAGAUGGCCUGCACAAUGGAUUGAAAAGUUUCCCUUGCCUUAGGGAUGCAGAUUCAGCAUCUCAGAGCAAAGCCUUGAAAUAUGAAUUUUUAAAGAAGUUCUGCAGUCAACUUGGGAACGAAUGAGUUUAGUAAUUACUGUAAACCAAAAUUUUCCAAACUUCAUUGAUGAUUAAAAAAGAAAAACACAUGGGAUGCUUAUUUUAAAUGCUAAUUCCCGAGUUUCUCUUUUGGAGGGUCUAAUUCAGAAGGACCCAAGAAUCUGUAAAUUACCCAACCAUUACUUCUUGUAGGAAAAAGGCUCUACGCUUUACCACCAGCUUGUUUUGCGCUCCUUGGGAAUGUCACUCAAGCGCUCCUAGGCCUAAUUUCUUCAUCUGAAUGCUGGAUAUGAAAAUAUCCAUUUCACAAGGUUCAUGUAAAAUACUACCGAGUUAAUCUAUGGAGACACGGUUUGUAAUUCUAUCAAGUGCUAUACGCAGGCAUAAGAAAUUCCAAUUUUCAACUGGCUUCAUUGUAAUGUGUCUUUCCUUGUAUCUAGGACCAAUUAAAUAAUUUGCAGUAAAUGGAAACGUGGGGGCUCCUUGUUAAAUAUUUAUUAAGAAUUUGAAAAUGGAGACAGCAGAGUGUUAAACUGUUAAAGGUAGUUAGGCAUGAGAGCAGGACAGGAGAGGGCUCUCCGACCCUCCAUUGGAAAUGUCAGGUGUUGGUUCGGCAAUUACCACAUUGCCUCUCUAAAAAUAAUUCAGCAGCGCGAGGAAGACGCCAUUUCCUGAUGGUCCACACCUGUUAACAUUAAAAUUUUAAUUGAACGCAGGCGCCAAGGAGAAGCAAUUUCCUGGGCAUGCGUGUUAACAGACAAAAAUGGCCUUUGGGAGGCCAAGGCGGGAGGAUCACUUGAGUUCGGGAGUUCGAAACUAGCCUUACCAACAUGGUGAAACCCCCGUCUCUACCAAAAACACAAAAAAUUAGCCUGGCGUGGUGGCGCACGCCUGUAAUCCCAGCUACUAGGGGGGCUGA
rnacentral:lncRNA from 10 species